rnacentral:tRNA from 1 species
CAGCGGGUAGUUUAAUUAAAAUUAUAAUUUUGGAUAUUAUGGAUAGGGUUUCCUUCUGCUGA